UACGUAGGGGGCAAGCGUUGUCCGGAUUUAUUGGGCGUAAAGAGCGUGUAGGCGGCCGUACAGGUCAGCUGUGAAAACUCGAGGCUCAACCUCGAGACGUCGGUUGAAACCGUACGGCUAGAGUCCGGAAGAGGAGAGUGGAAUUCCCGGUGUAGCGGUGAAAUGCGCAGAUAUCAGGAAGAACACCAAUGGCGAAGGCAGCUCUCUGGGACGGUACUGACGCUGAGACGCGAAAGCGUGGGGAGCGAACAGG
rnacentral:rRNA from 1 species